ensembl:lncRNA
GGAUGCCAUUCCAUGCCUGACCUACAGAAGGAGACACUGCUGGAGGAGCUGGAGAUAACACUGUUUGAUCGGCCCUCAACCCCAUUACUCCCACUAUCCACAGAUCCUACCUCCAGCCUGGAGAAAUGCAUCAGUCCCAGGGAGGAUCUGAAGAGAUUAUUACAGGAGAGUGAAUACGAGGAUGAUGGUAACUGUGAGACAACUCUCUGCUCGUUUAUAGAAUCCCUGACCUGCUAUAGUUCCAGCCGACUCUAAAGGCUCAAGCAAAACUACAGGUACAGGAAUAAACUCACUGCAGACAGAACUAUAUGUAAGACCUAUGACAUCAGGAAAUCAAACUUUAAAGACGGGCAUGUCUUUCUAGUAAAUGAUGGAGGAAGAUGAGGAGACGAUGAAGCACAAAGUUCUUGUGGAGAAACCUCUGCACCCACAAGAUGACAUGGUCAGUGUGGGGUUUUCUCCUCAAAUCAUCAUGCGCACAGCAGUGGCCCGAGUGUCCGAUAGAGUUCUCCCAGAGGCCAGGAUUGAGCCUGCUCUGACAAAUGCCACAUGCUGCCCAAAAAGAGUAAUUAAAAACAAACUAAUCAACCCAUUACUCAGGAAGCCCAACCCAUUCUCUCUUUUUUCUUAUUAUACAUGUCAUUCUUUCACACCACACAAUUUUAUAAAAGCUGUAAUUGAUUUGCAUAAAUGCAGAGAGAGAACAGAGAGGGCUGUGAACAGGAAGAGGCCUGCAAUUGUGACUGCUCGAGCAUACAAACCAUGGUUUCAGUGGUGGAGGUGUCAACUAUCAAUGGAUGAUUAUCUUGAUUACAUUUCCAAUCAGAAGGCAACAGGAAAGGAUCAGUUCACUUAGGAGACAGAAACAAGAAUUUGUUCCUGGAUUCUGGAGAUGGGAGGAUUGGGAAAGGAACCAGAACUGAAUGGCAUGUUAUAGUUUUCUUAAAAUAAAAAAAAGAAAGAAAAUACUGGUAUAUAUAUG